rnacentral:rRNA from 1 species
GAUGAACGCUGGCGGCGUGCCUAAUACAUGCAAGUCGAGCGAACGGACGAGAAGCUUUCUUCUCUGAUGUUAGCGGCGGACGGGUGAGUAACACGUGGAUCACCUACCUAUAAGACUUGGAUAACUUCGUGAAACCGGAGCUACUACCGGCUAAUAUUUUGAACCGCAUGGUUCAAAAGUUAAAGACGGUCUUGCUGUCACUUAUAGAUGGAUCCGCGCUGCAUUAGCUAGUUGGUAAGGUAACGGCUUACCAAGGCAACGAUGCAUAGCCGACCUGAGAGGGUGAUCGGACACACUGGAACUGAGACACGGUCCAGACUCCUACGGGAGGCAGCAGUAGGGAAUCUUACGCAAUGGGCGAAAGCCUGACGGAGCAACGCCGCGUGAGUGAUGAAGGUCUUCGGAUCGUAAAACUCUGUUAUUAGGGAAGAACAUAUGUGUAAGUAACUGUGCACAUCUUGACGGUACCUAAUCAAAAAGCCACGGCUAACUACGUG